GCAAAAGAGUGGGAAGAGCUUUAAGUAGAGGUGAUAAACCUACCGAGCACAGUUAUAGCUGGUUACCUGAGAAAUGGAUAGAAGUUCAGCCCUUAUAAAUAUUUCCCCCACCACCUUAAAAUUAUAAUGAUAAAGGAAAAUUAAGGAGUUAGACAGAAGGGGUACAGCUCUUCUGAGUAAAGAAACAACUUUAGUAGGUGAACCAAAAUCAUAUUAAUCAAGGACUAAAAUUUAAGUGGGCCUAAAGGCAGCCACCUUUUAAGAAAGCGUUAAAGCUCCAACUAUUAAUCCACCCUCUUAUACUGAUAUAUAACUUUUUCCCCCUACUACCUAUCAGGUUAUCUUAUGCCACCAUAAGAACAAUUAUGCUAAAAUGAGUAAUAAGAAGAAACUUCUUCUCCCAGCAUCCGUGUAAGUCAGACCGGACCACCCACCGAUUAUUAUACGAUCCCAAACUCAGAGGGCCAUAAGCCAAAAAACAAGAAAACCACUUAACUAAUAUCGUUAACCCCACACAGGAAUGCAUCAAGGAAAGACUAAAAGGAAAGAAAGGAACUCGGCAAACCCAAGCCUCGCCUGUUUACCAAAAACAUCGCCUCUUGACCAACAUAAUAUAAGAGGUCUCGCCUGCCCAGUGACUAAAUGUUAAACGGCCGUGGUAUCUUAACCAUGCGAAGGUAGCGUAAUCAUUUGUCUUUUAAAUGAAGACCUGUAUGAAUGGCAAAACGAGGGCUUAACUGUCUCCCUUCCCCAGUCAAUGAAAUGU
rnacentral:rRNA from 1 species